GGGAGUUCCCAGGGUCUGCUCUUCCACUGGGGAGUGGAAGAGAGAUAUCCUGUUCAAGGCUGGUUCAGCCACCAGCUAGAUUCAGGAGCCCUGACUCCUGAUGGAAUGGUGAACCAGGGUGGAAACCAGGACAUGAAAUAAGGCUGCAGAAACUACGUGCUGAAAGGAAUAUAGUUGUGUGGGGAAUCUAGUAUGUCAACAUCACCAGUGUAGCGUUUACUGCAUGCAAGAACUUUCCAGCAGUCCCUGGGGAACACUUCCUCUAAUCCCUUGCUAACUAAAAUGAAGUGUGGCAUCAGCCCAGCAGCGGCAGUGCCCCCCGGAGGUGUUAGAAAGGCAGAACUUCAGGCUCUACCUUGGAGCUGCUGAAUCUGAAUCUCAUUUAACAAGAUCCUCAGGAGAAGCAAAUGCACUGUCCUACCACAGUCUUCAUAACAUUCUUCCAGGGACAAGUCCAUCUGCAAGAUGCAGAAAUGAGCAUUGAUCUGGGGGAAUUUGAUCAGCAAUAAUCAAUCCCUCUAGCCACAGGAACUGGUGCCUGAUAAUAACAUAAUGCAAAGCAAGGCAAUAAGCCUCUAGCAAGCCUACUGACUUGACUUGGAAAAUCUGUGGAGUUUUGACUCACUAUCAGCUACAGCUGGAGCAGUGUGCAGCGUGAUGCAUGUGCUCAGUGCACGGCUGCUUAAAUGAGAGGACACACACAUCAACUCCCCUUAUACAGAGGAGGAAAAGGAGCUUUGUAAAAGGACAUGGCAGUAAACCUCCCGUCUGAGCCUGUAGCUCAUGCCUUUGCAUGUUUCAGCAAGAAUGAAGAAUAUCAGUCAAGAGUUUCCACAUCACGCCUGCCAGGGCUAUACCCUGGGUAUUUACAGAGUCGAGGACACUGAGACCAAUAUAACAGUUUCAGGCCUCAUCAACAGCAGGGAGAACCACAAAUCACAAACUUCUUUUGCACUGGGAAAGGUGUUGCCAUGGGAACAGGGCUGCUGGCCAUUUGGCCAUCUCACUCAUCUCUAGAGGAAGGCAGGUGAGGAAGGAACUCUGAGAGCAAAGAAAAUUGCUGGACUCUCACGGCCAGGCAUUUCAUUGUAUAGUCCUGGCAACGUGACCCUAAUGAGAAGAAGUCCAUACUUCAGUUUUGGUUUAGAAUUCAGUGACAGUUUGAUUGUGGGCUCAACCUCUUCUGCUUCCAUUGGAAUGUGAGUUACAUGCUGAAUUAAUGAGCAAAAACAUUAAGGCUUUGAGUCUGUUUUGCGCUUUCCUAGU
rnacentral:lncRNA from 1 species